AGUCGAGGGGCAGCAUAAUGGAUAGCAAUAUCUAUGGUGGCGACCGGCGCACGGGUGCGUAACGCGUAUGCAACCUACCUUUAACAGGGGGAUAACACUGAGAAAUUGGUACUAAUACCCCAUAAUAUCAUAGAAGGCAUCUUUUAUGGUUGAAAAUUCCGAUGGUUAGAGAUGGGCAUGCGUUGUAUUAGCUAGUUGGUGGGGUAACGGCUCACCAAGGCGACGAUACAUAGGGGGACUGAGAGGUUAACCCCCCACACUGGUACUGAGACACGGACCAGACUCCUACGGGAGGCAGCAGUGAGGAAUAUUGGUCAAUGGACGCAAGUCUGAACCAGCCAUGCCGCGUGCAGGAUGACGGCUCUAUGAGUUGUAAACUGCUUUUGUACGAGGGUAAACGCAGAUACGUGUAUCUGUCUGAAAGUAUCGUACGAAUAAGGAUCGGCUAACUCCGUGCCAGCAGCCGCGGUAAUACGGAGGAUUCAAGCGUUAUCCGGAUUUAUUGGGUUUAAAGGGUGCGUAGGCGGUUUGAUAAGUUAGAGGUGAAAUUUCGGGGCUCAACCCUGAACGUGCCUCUAAUACUGUUGAGCUAGAGAGUA
rnacentral:rRNA from 1 species